rnacentral:tRNA from 1 species
GCGGGUGUAGCUCAAUGGCCAGAGCUCCAGUCUUCCAAACUGGCGAUGGGGGUUCGAUUCCCCUCACCCGCUCCA